rnacentral:lncRNA from 1 species
UGAAAAUUGGAAAAUUAUGAGAAUUGGCAACAUUUCUCUGACCUUUUGAAUAUCAAAUAAUUUUGGAUUGUGUCUUGAGCAUUUUGGAUAUUAUUUUCAUGGCAUUUUUGGUCUGUUGAAAUUCUCUAGAGCAUUUAUUUAUUUAAGGAGGCAAUUAAAUUGAACUAGUUCUAUUUCAUUUUCUGUGGGAAGUGCUUCCAAAUCAGUUAAGUUUUCAAAGUCUUUAUUAUGUUACUCUGGGUUUGAAUACCUCAGGGAUUAUUAGCAUUGGACUUGGGCAAUGGUUUAUAUCUUAAUUCUCAAAGCCUUUGUUGUUUUGUGCAUGCACAACUGAAAUGAACCUGGAACUUGUGUAAUAUCACAUAUAAAACCAGGGGAUACUCUUUUCCAACUCUCAUGUUUCCAGC